CGCGGCCUAUCAGCUUGUUGGUGAGGUAACGGCUCACCAAGGCAUCGACGGGUAGCUGGUCUGAGAGGACGAUCAGCCACACUGGGACUGAGACACGGCCCAGACUCCUACGGGAGGCAGCAGUAGGGAAUCUUGCGCAAUGGGCGAAAGCCUGACGCAGCAACGCCGCGUGGGGGAUGAAUGCCUUCGGGUUGUAAACCCCUUUCAGCAGGGACGAAAACGACGGUACCUGCAGAAGAAGCUCCGGCCAACUACGUGCCAGCAGCCGCGGUAAUACGUAGGGAGCGAGCGUUGUCCGGAAUUAUUGGGCGUAAAGAGCUCGUAGGCGGUUCAGUAAGUCGGGUGUGAAAACUCAAGGCUCAACCUUGAGACGCCACUCGAUACUGCUGUGACUUGAGUCCGGUAGAGGAGUGUGGAAUUCCUGGUGUAGCGGUGAAAUGCGCAGAUAUCAGGAGGAACACCAGCGGCGAAGGCGGCACUCUGGGCCGGUACUGACGCUGAGGAGCGAAAGCAUGGGGAGCAAACAGGAUUAGAUACCCUGGUAGUCCAUGCCGUAAACGUUGGGCACUAGGUAUGGGAUCAUAUCAACGGAUUCCGUGCCGUAGCUAACGCAUUAAGUGCCCCGCCUGGGGAGUACGG
rnacentral:rRNA from 1 species